rnacentral:rRNA from 1 species
AUUGAACGCUGGCGGCAGGCCUAACACAUGCAAGUCGAGCGGAUGAAGGGAGCUUGCUCCUGGAUUCAGCGGCGGACGGGUGAGUAAUGCCUAGGAAUCUGCCUGGUAGUGGGGGAUAACGUCCGGAAACGGGCGCUAAUACCGCAUACGUCCUGAGGGAGCAACUGGGGGAUCUUCGGGCCUCACGCUAUCAGAUGAGCCUAGGUGGGAUUAGCUAGUUGGUGGGGUAAAGGCCUACCAAGGCGACGAUCCGUAACUGGUCUGAGAGGAUGAUCAGUCACACUGGAAGUGAGACACGGUCCAGACUCCUACGGGAGGCAGCAGUGGGGAAUAUUGGACAAUGGGCGAAAGCCUGAUCCAGCCAUGCCGAGUGUGUGAAGAAGGUCUUCGGAUUGUAAAGCACUUUAAGUUGGGAGGAAGGGCAGUAAGUUAAUACCUUGCUGUUUUGACGGUACCAACAGAAUAAGCACCGGCUAACUACGUG